CCUACGGGUGGCAGCAGUGAGGAAUAUUGGUCAAUGGACGAGAGUCUGAACCAGCCAAGUAGCGUGAAGGAUGACUGCCCUAUGGGUUGUAAACUUCUUUUAUAUGGGAAUAAAAUGUUCCAAGUGUGGGAUGUUGUAUGUACCAUAUGAAUAAGGAUCGGCGAACUCCGUGCCAGCAGCCGCGGUAAUACGGGGGAUCCGAGGGUUAACCGGGUUGAUUGGGGUUAAAGGGAGCGCAGGUGGAAUGUUAAGUCAGUUGUGAAAGUAUGCGGCUCAACCGUAAAAUUGCAGUUGAAACUGGGAGGCUUGAGUACAGUAGAGGUGGGCGGAAUUCGUGGUGUAGCGGUGAAAUGCGUAGAUAGCACGAAGAACUCCGAUGGCGAAGGCAGCUCACUGGACUGCAACUGACACUGAGGCUCGAAAGUGUGGGUAGCAAACAGGAUUAGAUACCCUUGUAGUC
rnacentral:rRNA from 1 species